GCCAGGCAUGGUGGCUCAUGCCUGUAAUCCCAGCACUUUAGGAGGCUGAGGUGGGUGGAUCACCUGAGGUCAGGACUUCGGGACCAGCCUGGCCAACAUGAUGAAACCCCAUCUCUA
rnacentral:sRNA from 1 species